UAUGUCUGUGAUAAGUAGACAGCAGAAGGACAUUCUUUUAUUAUAUUACUCUGACAGUUAAUAUUUUGAUUGUACUGGGUGGAAAAUGCCUAACUGUUGUCAUGAUUACUACUGCAAGUACAAAGCGAGUAAUGGCAUCACUUGCGGAGCACCUACUGCCAGAAGGGCGGAAUUAAAAGUGCAUAAAUUAAAAGUUAUUGCGAGCGGUAAAUAGUGGAAAUACCGUGGGCUCUUUACAUAAUCGGUGCAGAUGUUUUCAAUGUCGAUUGGGAUUAUGGUAUUGUUACAUUACAUGAAAGGAUAAUGUAGAGUUGUCGGAAAAUGAUCUCAUGGGUCUGAUGGUUUCUUCCGAUUUUACUCGCAAUUAUUCAACAGAGAACGGUAACUGGUACAUAAAAUUGAAGGUCGUAUGUACAUACCACUGUUCACCAUGAUUUUAAAUAUUUGUCAGAAAGUAUAGCGGAACGAUCUUAAGGACGCGUUUCUGUGGUUCUUCAGGGGUUUCAUCGGAUUCGAGGGGGUGAAGAUAAAUCAGAUGUUUCGCUUUAUUUUGGAUUAAAAAUCUCUUCGGAAUAGAGACAAUUUUCAAUCAACUUCCGGGCAUGGAGCACUUCAUACCUCGGGAAAAAUAGCUAUAGAUGUACUUGAAAUUUCAUCUCCAUUAUUUAUCGAGUUAUCGGAUACACAAGAUUCUUCACUGAAAAACGGAGAAGGGCCCAUUCUGUCCUUUAUUCGCUAAUUGCCCUAUCCCACCCUAUGCAUGCAGCUGUGGAUCCUACCACUGUACCAUAUUCUCCAUUUGGAAUCAACAUGAGAGAAUGGAAAAAUCGUUGGAAUACACAGCUUCGAGAGAAUACAACGAUUCGCAGGAAAAAAUACUGGAAAACAUCGCGAUUGCCUUGACAUCGGUGAAAGGCUCAAGCCCCUCUGGACAUCGAGGAAAUCUUCGAUGAAAUGAAUCAAAGCCCCGAUUAUCUCAAGACAGAACAGUUCCAAUAUCCAAUACCAAAAACAUGGAUCGCAUAUUUCAACUUUAGCAUCAAAGCAAGGCCACAUAGAAUCCGAAAUAUUAUUGCGAUGUACAUUGAAACCUUUGAAUUAACUCUCGUGAAGUGCUCGAUAAUCUGUGAUAAAAAAAAAACUUAUUUAGAUAACGAUUGGCCCAACACGCGGAAUUAAUUUCCGCUUACAAUGGGAUGGGCACACCGGAAAUGACUGUUUGUUUUUUUCUUUGAAAUAUUUACCUUUGUUGGGGACUUUAUAAACGUGACUAAUUUAUUCUCAAAUAGACAAAAUUGAUGUCAUAUUCGACCAAUUACUAAAUGAGAUACUUCCUUAUCACUUGUUACGCUUGGAGUAUUGGUUUAAUACUGUUCUUGUAAAGGUGAUACAUUUUUUCGCGGUGAUGUCAUCAGUGUGAGUUGGAGAAUCAGAAUUUCCAGAAUAGUAGUAGAAAAAUCUUUGUGAUUUUUGGAGGCAUUCUCCAGGUUAAUUAUGCUGCAGUCAAUCUGCUUCAUGAAUGUUAUGAAUAGUUCAGGAUUGAAUGUCCUGACAGAUGAUUUAUAAUUUUUUCCGCGGUGUAAAUAACCUUAAGUAUGAUGCAUUAUCCGCUCGCUUUACAUUAUCAU